CCAGACUCCUACGGGAGGCAGCAGUGGGGAAUAUUGCACAAUGGGGGAAACCCUGAUGCAGCAACGCCGCGUGAGUGAAGAAGUCAUUCGUGAUGUAAAGCUCUAUCAGCAGGGAAGAAAAUGACGGUACCUGAAUAAGAAGCCCCGGCUAACUACGUGCCAGCAGCCGCGGUAAUACGUAGGGGGCAAGCGUUAUCCGGAUUUACUGGGUGUAAAGGGAGCGUAGACGGCGGUGCAAGUCUGGAGUGAAAGGCAGGGGCCCAACCCCUGGACUGCUCUGGAAACUGUAGCGCUGGAGUGCAGGAGAGGUAAGUGGAAUUCCUAGUGUAGCGGUGAAAUGCGUAGAUAUUAGGAGGAACACCAGUGGCGAAGGCGGCCUGCUGGACGAUGACUGACGUUGAGGCUCGAAAGCGUGGGGAGCAAACAGGAUUAGAUACCCCCGUAG
rnacentral:rRNA from 1 species